CGCGAAGACCACGCCUCCGCGCAAUUUCACCCUGUCCACCGGGCGAAGAUUACGCCCUCCUCGCUCCUCUUCCUCGCGUGUACUGUUGCCGCCGCCUCACUCAACUGCUGCCGCACCGGAGCCGAGGUCGUCCCCAGCCGCCCCCGACGGCGAGGUCCUUCCUCGCCGCCGCCGCACUCCACCUACCGCAGCCUGUCCCCGACGGCGAGGUUGUGGUUCCCCCGUCCACCGGACCGCCGCGACUGCCCCCGAUGGCGAGAUCCUUUCCUGCCGCCGCCGCACUCCACCGCAGUCUGGAAUCACCGGCGCCGAGGUGGUUCCCCUUCCACCGCACCCGUCCGGGACUGCCCCCCACAGCGCCUAGGUGGAAGUGGAAUGCCUUUCCGUGCUUUCAUUCCACGACUUCUUCACCGGCUUCCUCGCCGACGCCUACCUUCUGCCCGCCAUCCUGAGGUCUUCCUUGAUUCUCAUCCACAAGGUUUUGAUAUGCCGGUUGGGAUCAGAUAUAAUGCUUUCGUUGAUAUAUUCUGAGAUACUGAAGAUGCUACGGUUAUACGGCUUACUGGAAUUCAGUUUGGAUAUUUUCUAUCUACGUGAUCUCAACAGUCUGCUUAGGGGCAACACAAGAGCUAGGUGGGCGAUGGAACACAUACUAUGAAUUCACUUCUGUCUGAGGUGUGUUUUGUCAAUCUUCAGUACCCAUGUUCCAUUUUGAAAGGUCGGUGUGUUGUGGUCUGCUACAUGGCUGUACGCCUGUACAUAUCUCAGGCAAGAUGAUUUUUGCACUUGUACUGGCAUUUAGCACGCCAACCAUAGGCAAUCUCAAAACUACUCUACACCAGGGAAUUUCCAUCUUGUAGCUAGCUUGCUAGAGGGCAAUCUUUUCCUCAAGCUCCUAUCUACCAGCAAAAAGAUUGCUAGCAUUUAUGCUUCAGAUUUCUGAACAAGACUUGAAUUGGAUUGCUGCUUGAAAAUUUCCAACUGCAAAUUUCUGUUAAUUUCCAUAACUACAGGGUUGAAUUUCCAUCAAUUACUUGAAUCCAGGAUUUAAAGACGCGCAUAGCUCAGCAAGCAGUGGAUUAUACUAAGGUCAAGUAGGUCAACAAAUUUGAAUUGGUGUAGGGCUUGAAGAAGAAAAAAAUAGUAUUACUCUCUAUUGGAACUUGAAUUAUUUUUUCUAAUAAGUUUCUUGUCAGUGAAAAGAAUUUGUGGUCAGUUACUAAUUAAGAACUGAUAACUGAUGGGUGAUUGGGUGUUCAUUCUAUACUGCAUAGCUUUUUUUAAAAAAAAUGAAGAGAAUAUAUUUUUGUAGUUGAAGCAGUCAAUUUCUACAACAACAGAUUACUAGGACUUUAACCUUCUCUAUCAGUGUUUUUAUGCUGGUAUGGACUGGUAAUAUCAAGAAGACUGAAUGCAUAACCAGCAGUUUUACAUAUUUUUCAAUGGCAACACAAAGUACCAUUUAUGUUUAUCACAAACACUUGUCUUCACUGAGAAGUGCCAUUUAUGGAGUUUGUUUGCAGUUUGUUCAAUAGAUUCACAACAUUUCAAAUAUGGAGUUAUUUUUCGGAACAUUCAAAGAAGUACAGCUGGCUCAAUUUUUGCCGCAUGCUGUGAGCUCAAAAUGUAAGAGGUCGCCUGGAACUUGUGCUUAUUUAGUAUCAAAAUUUCACCUGCCGAAUAUGUCAUCUCAAUAUGUUCUCCUAAAAUUAUUGCUUGAGUAUAGUGGUGUUCCUUUUGUGAACUCACUAAGCAUAUUUUUUUUCAAGCUAAGAAUAUACAGAUGAAGCAUGGAAGGAGGGAUGCUUUUACAUUCUGGUUUGUUUUGAAGCCUUAAAGUAGUCAGCCAAUGAUCAGACACCUUUCAUUUGAGGGCCGGAGGGAAGUUUGAGGAAAAGGCUAGAUUUAGUUAUGAUUUUGCAUGCUUCAGUAUGAUAUGAUUAACCUGAUUCUUGAUAGCUUGUAUUUUGAAACCAAGUGUUAUGUUAAAUUUACAUCAAAUAUUGGUCAUUUAUAAAAGCAGGUUGUCUGAAAAAAUGUAAGUAUGUUGGCUUUAUGUAUGCAGGUUGUCUCAAUUUGACCUCCCUUUAUAGCUUCUGCCUGAUUGUGACACCUUUUUUAGCUGUACAAGUAGUGGGAAACACAAAGCAACAAUGAAUAUGGGCGAAUGGGCAAGCUGAUGAGCAGACUGUGGUAUUGUUUGCUUGCUGCUGCGUAGCACUCACAGACUAAGCAUCUGGUGGCCUAGGGUACUAUGCAGUGGUGAGGAGUGAGCCAUAGCCACUUAUCUGAUCAACGAGCACCUGAACAGACUGUAGGUUAAGGUGAUGUCCUCCUUUUCUAGAUCCUCAAAUAAUAAAUAUUUUAGUGCCAAAUUUGAGUCAUGUUUUUUUUUACUGAAAUCUAUAUUUUUUUUAUGAAGUUGCCAUGUAUGAUCAUUUUUUUUUGUGAUGGAUAUAGUGCGAUGUUUGAUUGCUGAUUUGCUCCAUGCAUAAAGAGCUUCUAAUUUAAAAUAGUUUCACAAAAGAAUGAUCAGGUAUUAACUACCAAUUGCCAUUUUUUUCCCUAUCUUACUUGAGUGCAAAAAUCAGUUUUUAUUUGCUCUUUUUUCAUGGCAAUGCAAGAAGGAAUAUGAGAUGUGCAUUAUUUGUUAAUACAGAUUCUAUUUGGAUGUGAAAUAUCUUUAUCUCCUUGGAAAUUUUGCUCUCUUAUUCUGCCAUUAACUUGUUAAGAUUCAGAAUAUUAUGGUCUUCUUAAAUCUUGAUUUGUCGGUGGCCUUGAACAUCGUAGAUGAGCACGGCUAUCGCUAUCAAGCACCAUCAUCUUAAAAAAUAGUAUUAAUCUCACUUCGGUAUACUUCAGUACCAAGUUCUCCAUAUAUAUUGAUAAAAAAAACUAAGAUGAAAUUUCUCUUAAAUAAAACAUUGAUUAUGAGCAUUAGGGAGAUGCCAACUGAUUGGUGCAAACUUUUUGUGUGGAGAUGGUGCCUGCAAUAAAGAUGAGGCUCACAAGCUAAAUUGAGCACCUUCCUUUAGGAUAUCGUGGUACAGAAUAUAUGUAUCACUUUUUUUUUUGCUACAGAAGGUGGAGCAGUUUUUAUGUUCUUAGUUUUUGUUUAUAUGUAUUUAUAACAAUUAUUCUUUUCUAGAUCAAUUAUUUGUGUAGAUCAAUUAUUUACACCUCUUGGAAAGGAACCACCAAAUACAGCAUAUGGGAUUUUUUUUAUUGCCUCAUGAUUUUUUGUUUAUCUAUGCCAACAUUUACCGGCACAAUUGCCUGCUUCUCCAUGUGCUCCCGUGGUAGAUUGGGUAUCCACAUCGAGAAUAGCGAAGUUCUUAUUUACGGGAAAUUGUCAAGUAAUCUCUAUUGUGCGUGUUCCUGAUCGAAGCAUGUAGCGGUGCAUAUGUAUUCAAUUGUAGUACUCUCAAACAAAAAUAUUGAGCAUUUGAUGUACAUCAGAAUUGUACUAAGAAGAACAAAAUUGUGUGCCAUAAUGAAUCCAAGAAUUUAAAUUUGAUCUA